UGGAGGAUAUAUCUUGGUCAAUGUAAUAUAACAUCAUUCCAUUCCUUCCGUGGUCGGCACCUGUAUAAUUUAAUUUUAUCCUUAUUUCAGGUGUGCUUUUGUUGCAUUAUAAGAUGCUUUGCCGAAACAUAUAACUGUUCACUCCCGGAGAAUUCAUGGAGAGAAGUUUUGAUGUUGUUGGCUCAACAAUUAGCAGAUGGCUUAGCCCAUCUAAGACAGUAUAUUCUUGCUUUUUUCACUGGUA
rnacentral:lncRNA from 1 species